rnacentral:tRNA from 1 species
GCACUGGUAGCUCAGUUGGUAGAGCGGUUGACUCUUAAUCAAUAGGUCCGGGGUUCAAAUCCCCGCCGGUGCA